rnacentral:rRNA from 1 species
GACGGAGGGUGCUAGCGUUGUCCGGAAUCACUGGGCGUAAAGGGCGCGCAGGCGGCCCCCGCCCGUCGGGCGUGAAAGCCCGGGGCUCAACCCCGGAACGGCGCCCGAGACGGCGGGGCUGGAGACCGGGAGAGGAGGGUGGAAUAGCCAGUGUAGAGGUGAAAUUCGUAGAUAUUGGCUGGAACACCGGUGGCGAAAGCGGCUCUCUGGCCCGGGUCUGACGCUGAGGCGCGAAAGCGUGGGGAGCAAACAGG